UGAUCUACUUGCGUUCAAAAACGUGUCU
rnacentral:sRNA from 1 species